rnacentral:rRNA from 1 species
UACGAAGGGGGCUAGCGUUGUUCGGAAUCACUGGGCGUAAAGCGUACGUAGGCGGACCAUUAAGUCGGGGGUGAAAUCCCAGGGCUCAACCCUGGAACUGCCUUCGAUACUGGUGGUCUGGAGUCCGGGAGAGGUGAGUGGAACUCCUAGUGUAGAGGUGAAAUUCGUAGAUAUUCGGAAGAACACCAGUGGCGAAGGCGGCUCACUGGACUGGUAUUGACGCUGAGGUGCGAAAGCGUGGGGAGCAAACAGG